rnacentral:rRNA from 1 species
CUACGGGUGGCAGCAGUGGGGAAUAUUGGACAAUGGGCGAAAGCCUGAUCCAGCAAUACCGCGUGAAUGAUGAAGGCCUUAGGGUUGUAAAGUUCUUUUAGUUGGAAAGAUAAUGACGGUACCAACAGAAAAAGCCCCGGCUAACUCCGUGCCAGCAGCCGCGGUAAGACGGAGGGGGCUAGCGUUGUUCGGAAUUACUGGGCGUAAAGGGCGCGUAGGCGGAUUAGUAAGUUGGGAGUGAAAGCCCGGGGCUUAACCUCGGAACUGCUUUCAAAACUGCUAGUCUUGAGUGAAGUAGGGGAUGAUGGAAUUCCUAGUGUAGAGGUGAAAUUCUUAGAUAUUAGGAGGAACACCGGUGGCGAAGGCGGUCAUCUGGACUUCAACUGACGCUGAGGCGCGAAAGCGUGGGGAGCAAACAGGAUUAGAUACCCGAGUAGUC